UUGUAUUAAAAUAGUGCAUCCUCGAUUGCCUUUAAAUACGUGUGUUAGUUGUAGCCACUAUCUUAACAUUACAUGUUAUACUGUUUCUUUGAUAAAAUUAAUAUGGCUCUCAUGACUGUGUGUGUAUAUUUUUGCUGUGUGCGAUGUGUGGAAAAACUUGCUUACCUAGCGUUGUUUUGAGUAUUAUUUUUGAGUAUGGUUCAUCUGCUGUGCGAAGGCGUUACCUACGCUGGAUGUGUUUAGCUGGUCACUACACGAACGGAAAUGCCACAGGGUUCAUGCUCAUGAAUAUGACAUUUUGAAGUUAAUUAACUUCAUUUCUUCCGCAUAUACUUGAUGAAACUUAAAGUAAAGUACUGUAGUCUCAUUA